rnacentral:rRNA from 1 species
AUACGUAGGGGGCGAGCGUUGUCCGGAAUGACUGGGUGUAAAGGGCGUGUAGGCGGAGAUGCAAGUCAGGAGUGAAAUCUAGGGGCUCAACCCCUAAACUGCUUUUGAAACUGUAUCCCUUGAGUAUCGGAGAGGCAGGCGGAAUUCCUAGUGUAGCGGUGAAAUGCGUAGAUAUUAGGAGGAACACCAGUGGCGAAGGCGGCCUGCUGGACGACAACUGACGCUGAGGCGCGAAAGCGUGGGGAGCAAACAGGAUUAGAUACCCUGGUAGUCCACGCUGUAAACGAUGAAUACUAGGUGUGGGGGGACUGACCCCCUCCGUGCCGCAGUUAACACAAUAAGUAUUCCACCUGGGGAGUACGAUCGCAAGAUUGAAACUUAAAUGAAUUGGCGGGG